rnacentral:rRNA from 1 species
GAGUUUGAUCCUGGCUCAGGACGAACGCUGGCGGCGUGCUUAAGCUAUGCAAGUGGGACGGUCGCCUUUGGCGACAGUCGCGGACGGGUGAGUAACGCGUAGGAAUCUACCCUAAAGUUAAGGAUAACCUCGAGAAAUUGGGGCUAAUCCUGGAUGUGCCCGCAAGGGUAAAGGCUUCGGCCGCUUUAGGAUGAGCCUGCGUCCUAUCAGCUUGUUGGUGAGGUAAUUGCUCACCAAGGCGAUGACGGGUAGGGGGCGUGAGAGCGCGGUCCCCCACAAGGGCACUGAGACACGGGCCCUACACCUACGGGUGGCAGCAAGUAGGAAUCAUGCGCAAUGGGCGAAAGCCUGACGCUGCGACGCCGCGUGCGGGAAUGACGGCCGGAAGGUCGUAAACCGCUGUGGAGGGGGGAGAUAAUGACGGUACCCCUCUAGAAAGCAGUUGCUAACUACGUGCCAGAAGCCUCGGUCAAACGUAGGCUGCAAGCGUUGUCCGGAGUUAUUGGGCGUAAAGGGUUGGGCAGGCGGCUAUGUAAGUCAUUGGUUAAAACUUACGGCUUAACUGUAAGUUUGCCAGUGAAACUGCGUGGCUAGAGGCAGAUAGGGGUCAGCGGAACUGCUGGAGUAGGGGUAAAAUCCAUUGAUACCAGCAGGAACACCUAAGGCGAAGGCAGCUGACUGGGUCUUGCCUGACGCUCAUCCACGAAAGCUAGGGUAGCGAAACGGAUUAGAUACCCGUGCAGUCCUAGCCGUAAACAUUGGACACUAGCCUGGUGGCUUUUGUUGCCAGGCGCAAGCUAACGUGUUAAGUGUCCCGCCUGGGGAGUACGGUCGCAAGAUUAAAACUUAAAGGAAUUGGCGGGGGCUCGCACAAGCGGUGGAGCGCGUGGUUUAAUUGGAUGAUAAGCCAAGAACCUUACCAGGCCUUGACAUGCUAGUAGUAGGAACCUGAAAGGGGGACGAUCUCGUUUAAUCGAGAAGCUAGCACAGGUGUUGCACGGCUGUCGUCAGCUCGUCUCGUGAGAGGUAGGGUUAAGACCUACAACGAGCGCAACCCAUACCGUUAGUUGUAUCACUCUAGCGGGACUGCCCGGGUAACCGGGAGGAAGGUGUGGACGACGUCAAGUCAGCGUUGCCCUUAUGGUCUGGGCGACACACGCGCUACAAUGGCGGGGACAAUGGGCAGCCACGUCGUAAGGCGGAGCUAAUCCCAAAACCUCGUCUCAGUUCGGAUUGGGGUCUGCAACCCGACCCCAUGAAGUCGGAAUCGCUAGUAAUCGCGUAUCAGCCACGGCGCGGUGAAUACGUUCUCGAGCCUUGCACACACCGCCCGUCACGUGAGCCAAGUUGGGAGUGCCCGAAGUUCUCCGCCUUGCGGAGGAUUAAGGUAAACUCAGCGAGGAGCGCGAAGUCGUAACAAGGUAGCCGUA